rnacentral:tRNA from 1 species
GGGCGUGUAGCUCAGCUUGGAUAGAGCGACAGAAUGUUCUGAAAACAUCCGCUAGAGCCUUCUAAGCUGAAGGUCCGGAGUUCAAAUCUUCGCACGCCCG